rnacentral:rRNA from 1 species
AUUGAUUUUAUGCUUGCAUAAACGAUUUUUGGAUUCGGAGCGAGUGGCGAACUGGUGAGUAACACGUGGGUAACCUGCCCCGAAGCGGGGGAUAACAUUUGGAAACAAGUGCUAAUACCGCAUAAUUAGUUGGAACCGCAUGGUUCCAACUUGAAAGAUGGCUCUGCUAUCACUUUGGGAUGGACCCGCGCCGUAUUAGUUAGUUGGUGAGAUAAAAGCCCACCAAGACGAUGAUACGUAGCCGACCUGAGAGGGUAAUCGGCCACAUUGGGACUGAGACACGGCCCAGACUCCUACGGGAGGCAGCAGUAGGGAAUCUUCCACAAUGGACGAAAGUCUGAUGGAGCAACGCCGCGUGAGUGAUGAAGGUUUUCGGAUCGUAAAACUCUGUUGUUAAAGAAGAACAAGUGUUAGAGUAACUGUUAACACUUUGACGGUAUUUAACCAGAAAGCCACGGCUAACUACGUGCCAGCAGCCGCGGUAAUACGUAGGUGGCAAGCGUUGUCCGGAUUUAUUGGGCGUAAAGCGAGCGCAGGCGGUUUUGUAAGUCUGCUGUGAAAGCCCUCAGCUCAACUGAGGAAGUGCAGUGGAAACUACAAAACUUGAGUACAGAAGAGGAAAGUGGAACUCCAUGUGUAGCGGUGAAAUGCGUAGAUAUAUGGAAGAACACCAGUGGCGAAGGCGGCUUUCUGGUCUGUUACUGACGCUGAGGCUCGAAAGCAUGGGUAGCGAACAGGAUUAGAUACCCUGGUAGUCCAUGCCGUAAACGAUGAAUACUAGGUGUUGGAGGGUUUCCGCCCUUCAGUGCCGCAGCUAACGCAUUAAGUAUUCCGCCUGGGGAGUACGACCGCAAGGUUGAAACUCAAAGGAAUUGACGGGGGCCCGCACAAGUGGUGGAGCAUGUGGUUUAAUUCGAUGCUACGUGAAGAACCUUACCAGCUCUUGACAUCUUCUGCCAACCCAAGAGAUUGGGCGUUCCCUUCGGGGACAGAAUGACAGGUGGUGCAUGGUUGUCGUCAGCUCGUGUCGUGAGAUGUUGGGUUAAGUCCCGCAACGAGCGCAACCCUUAUUAUUAGUUGCCAGCAUUUAGUUGGGCACUCUAGUGAGACUGCCGGUGAUAAA